rnacentral:lncRNA from 1 species
UUGAUGGAGGCUAAGCUAAAAAGUGGUACUCCUUUGAUUGUUGAUCGAUAUUCUUAUUCAGGGGUUGCCUAUUCAUCUGCCAAAGGUUUAGAUAUUGAAUGGUGUAAGUGAUGAGGCAAUCGAUAUCAAAUAUGACGUAACAAGAGUGUAAACCAUGAGGUGAGUUGAUUAAAGGACAGUUGAGACCUAGAAAGAAGAACAUUUCAGGCUGUGAUGAGUUGAGUGAAAAAUGUCUCUUGAUGCGGCAAAAUCCGAAGACAGCAGGUGCGAGUUUCUCCACUUGCAACUUCUAUUGCAACCAUGGUCGUCUAAUAGACAAAUUUGCACCAAAAAGGUCGGUCAGGUCAAUAUCUGGCGGCAUAGCUACAAGCCGUAUGUCCUUGCGAUUUUUGUUUCAGUAUUCAUCAGUUUGAGUUUAUCGUGCAGGUACAUUACCUAAUUUCACGGGAAACUUAGCUUCAAUGGAUCAUUAGACACGUUACGUACAAUCUAGCGGUAAUUGCUACCGGACCCCGCCGCAACGCGGCGGGACUGUUUUCUAGUUAUUUACUAAAUUCAACCCUUUGGAAGUUUAGAGCUUUGCUAUUUUUUAAAUCCUUCAUUCAUGCACAUCUUUGUAUCAACGCAACUAAGGACUACCCUUCAACACAAUUUACACACACAAUUCAUAAGCACUAUUGUAAGAUACUUAUUGCAAGCAAGCAAUUCCACCAUAGCAUUGCCAUUU